AAGAGUAAGGGUGCUCAGCGCCCGACCUCCAACCCUUUGUUGUUAAAACUACCUUGUUGCUUUGGCGGGACCGCUCGGUUCCGAGCCGCUGGGGGAUUCGUCCCAGGCGAGUGCCCGCCAGAGUUAAACCAAACUCUUGUUAUUUAACCGGUCGCCUGAGUUAAAAUUUUGAAUAAAUCA
rnacentral:misc_RNA from 1 species